rnacentral:snRNA from 1 species
CUGGCACGCCGCGCGCGACCCAGUCGGCUCGCAAGGGCGAGGGCUCCCCGCCCAAGGAGCGCGUCAAGCUGCCGGCUGUCAAGUCAGCACGCAAAGCAAGCAAGGCAGAGAGGGCGCAGGAGAGUCA